rnacentral:rRNA from 1 species
UACGAAGGGGGCUAGCGUUGUUCGGAAUUACUGGGCGUAAAGGGCGCGUAGGCGGAUCUUUAAGUCGGGGUGAAAGCCCAGGGCUCAACCCUGGAAUUGCCUUCGAUACUGAAGAUCUCGAGACCGGAAGAGGUAAGUGGAACUGCGAGUGUAGAGGUGAAAUUCGUAGAUAUUCGCAAGAACACCGGUGCGAAGGCGGCCCGCUGGCAGGAAGACACCGCAAGGUGUCGGCUGACGCUGAGGCGCGACAGCGUGGGAGCAAACAGG